GGAUUUUGCCAGAGAUGGCUUAGUGCUCGAAAGAGAACCGUAACCCAGGUGCUGCAUGGCUGUCGUCAGCUCGUGUCGUGAGAUGUUGGGUUAAGUCCCGCAACGAGCGCAACCCUUGUCAUUAGUUGCUACAUUCAGUUGGGCACUCUAAUGAGACUGCCGGUGACAAACCGGAGGAAGGUGGGGAUGACGUCAAGUCCUCAUGGCCCUUAUAGGUGGGGCUACACACGUCAUACAAUGGCCGGUACAAAGGGUCGCAAACCCGCGAGGGGGAGCCAAUCCAUCAAAGCCGGUCGUAGUCCGGAUCGCAGUCUGCAACUCGACUGCAUGAAGUCGGAAUCGCUAGUAAU
rnacentral:rRNA from 1 species